rnacentral:lncRNA from 1 species
AUGGACCUUAGCGUGCAUGAGGUUCUUCCACCCGCGUUGGAUUCCACUUCUUAGCCACUACCUCUAAUUGACAAAACCAGUAGGUAUUCGUCAUGUGAUCAAUUAGUCUAAUUUAGCUUAAUUUCACCUUUAGUGCGUAUUUUAGUGCUUAUUUUUGGUUCAGCGACCGCAAUGAUGAUAUAUGAAUUCAGAACAUUUUUUUUAUUUUGUAUUAAAUGAAGGUUAUACAUCAACUACCACUGCUCCUAUUCACAACGUGUUUGAUCACCAAUAAUUCCUCAGUUUCCUCCUUCUGAACACAUGUUCAUACUUUGUUAACUUUGGCCUCUAAUUCAGUAAUGAUGCGUCUGGUUUUAUAGUAAUUAACUUUUAUAAAAUAUUUGGUUUUCUUUUAUGUGAGACCUGGCUGUGGACCUUGAUGAAGGAGUUUGAGAGCACUUUGCCUUCUAGCACUUAGGAAGGAGGUUGCACUUUUCGACCCAUUUGACAAAACAGGUUAUUCAUGCAUGUUUAAGCUAUUUGCCAAUCAAAGGAGAUCUUAUUGAGGCUAAAGGUGUUCACGAGCUACUUUGUUCAUUGGUCAAAAGACAAGUAUGGGCAAUCCUUUUUAUUGUUCUUCUUUACCUCUUUUUGCAUUGCUUCUAACAAACUUUGUUGUCUAUAUCACAAGUUAGACAUGGAACUGCAGCGUCCCUACAAUCGAUAUGUGCAAUAAUUGUUUCUAUAUUUGAUAUAAAUAUUUGAGUAUUCUAUUAUAUCCAUGCCCUGUGAGCUGAGGGGGCUACUCUAUUGAUUACCAGCACUCAUGAUUGGGUGAAUAGUCGUAGACAGUAUGCUUUCACGCAAAUAAGUUCCACUCUAUCCUUAUCCAGGACAUUGGAUUCUUAUAGCUUGGAAUUAUGGUUAAAGUGGAAUUUGUUCUUCGUUCUUAAGUGAGAGGGUUUGAGUCAAAAAAAAAAACGAGUACUUUUGCAGGUUGGGUUGGAAUUCUCAGCACAUUCUCUAUUGGAUGGUGGAAUAUUGAAUAUACAAGAGAUGAAUAUGACAUGGUUGGAGAUACGAAUUGAGUAAAAGUCUUGCGGCAUGAUCUGUUUACAAAUGAUGCUCUACUUUGGCUUUAGUUUCAACAAUUUAAAAUGUGUGCUUGGCGGUAGUUAAAGACGGAAGAGAAUAUUAGAGGGAAAGUCAACCACAUGAAGAAAGGAAAGAUAUUAGCUUUGUUCGAGAAUUUAGUGAAAAUGGUGUAGAUGAAGAUGUGUA